CGGAGAGGGAGCAUGAGACCGUUAGCCCGGAGAUGGGCACUGAGACAAGGGCCCAGGCCCUACGGGGCGCAGCAGUUGCGAAACCUCCGCAAUGCGCGAAAGCGUGACGGGGUUACCCCGAGUGCCGUCCGCUGAGGAUGGCUUUUCUCCGGUGUAAUGAGCCGGAGGAAUAAGGGGAGGGCAAGACUGGUGUCAGCCGCCGCGGUAAUACCAGCUCCCCGAGUGGUGGGGAUGAUUAUUGGGCUUAAGCGUCCGUAGCCGGCCUGACAAGUCUUCCGUUAAAUCCAGUGACCUAAUCGCUGGGCCGCGGGAGAUACUGCCCGGCUAGGGGGCGGGAGAGGCCGACGGUAUUCUCGGGGUAGGGGUGAAAUCCUAUAAUCCUGAGAGGACCACCAGUGGCGAAGGCGGUCGGCUAGAACGCGCUCGACGGUGAUGGACGAAAGCUGGGGGAGCGAACCGGAUUAGAUACCCGGGUAGUCCCAGCUGUAAACGAUGCGGGCUAGGUGUUGGAGCGGAUACGAGCCGCUUCAGUGCCGCAGGGAAACUGUUAAGCCCGCCGCCUGGGAAGUACGGUCGCAAGGCUGAAACUUAAAGGAAUUGGCGGGGGAGCACUACAAGGCGUGAAGCUUGCGGUUUAAUUGGAGUCAACGCCGGGAACCUUACCGGAGGAGACAGCAGGAUGAAGGCCAGAUUGAAGGUCUUGCUAGACAAGCUUGAGAGG
rnacentral:rRNA from 1 species